rnacentral:misc_RNA from 1 species
GCACUGCCCCAAUGACCCUGAAUGUCCACGUCCAUAGCAAACAAAAGUAAAUCCCAUUGGUCAAAAAGAUUCAAAUUUUCACUUUAGACACUGUUCAGAAAUACCCUUCUGCAGUUCUCUGUCCUCGUGUAAAUUAGUAAUUUAAUAAUCUAAUUUAUAAUAUAAAAAGUUAAUAAAUUAUAAGGAACAGCGGAUGAAGUAAGGAGAAAAUAUGAAGAAGUAAAUAAAUAAAAUUAAAGGACCCACCCUCCGAGAUAGA